UCAAAUCCCUUUCACACGUUGGUUAUUCUUCGCGCGGAAUUGGGAGUAAAACAUGUUAGUCCAGAAUCAUUGGAUCAAAAAUCACCACCGUAGCCGCGUUGCCCAUAGGCCAACAAUCGCGAAGAACCAUUUUUUUUUCUUGUUUGAUAUUUUCGUGCCACUGCGAGCCCUUCUUCUCCGGCGAAGAGCGACGUCGGAAUUUUACAAAGAUCACUGGCCUAGAUUCCGACAAACACAAAGACCCAUCUAUCCCAAUUUGUUACGGCCAUUGGACAACAAUCCAUUUCUCUUCGAAGAAGACCCACCUUAUUGUUUUCGAAAGAAGCAUCGUGCUAAAGUGACUAUUCUUCAUCCAUUUACCAAAAACUCAGAACAAAUCAAGACGCUGAUAUCUUAAUUGCAGCUGCAGAAGUACUCAAUUUGGUCCGUGAUAGUUGGUUAAAGCCAGACACAAUUGUUGUAAUAUUUAAAUGUGUAAUUUUUUUUUUUUAUUUUGAAAGAAUGUCCAUCAAUCCUCUCAUUGUAAUUACUUUUAGCGUGCUAAACAUAAUAUAAUG